AACGAACGCUGGCGGCAGGCUUAACACAUGCAAGUCGAGCGCCCCGCAAGGGGAGCGGCAGACGGGUGAGUAACGCGUGGGAACGUACCCUUUGCUACGGAAUAGCUCCGGGAAACUGGAAUUAAUACCGUAUGUGCCCUACGGGGGAAAGAUUUAUCGGCAAAGGAUCGGCCCGCGUUGGAUUAGCUAGUUGGUGGGGUAAUGGCCUACCAAGGCGACGAUCCAUAGCUGGUCUGAGAGGAUGAUCAGCCACAUUGGGACUGAGACACGGCCCAAAAUCCUACGGGAGGCAGCAGUGGGGAAAAUUGGACAAUGGGCGCAAGCCUGAUCCAGCCAUGCCGCGUGAGUGAUGAAGGCCUUAGGGUUGUAAAGCUCUUUCGCCGAUGAAGAUAAUGACGGUAGUCGGAGAAGAAGCCCCGGCUAACUUCGUGCCAGCCGCCGCGGUAAUAC
rnacentral:rRNA from 1 species